CCUAGUAAGCGCGAGUCAUUAGCUCGCGUUGAUUACGUCCCUGCCCUUUGUACACACCGCCCGUCGCUACUACCGAUUGAAUGGCUUAGUGAGACUUUCAGAUGUGUUUGGAGCCGCUGGCAACAGCGACACCUUGCGCAGAAGUUAUUCAAACUUGGUCAUUUAGAGGAAGUAAAAGUCGUAACAAGGUUUCCGUAGGUGAACCUGCGGAAGGAUCAUUAAAAAAAAAUUUAAUGAAUGGUCGGGGGGGACUUUUUUUGUGCCCUCCGGCUUUAUUCAACCAACCCGCUCUUGUAUUUUGUAUCAAACAAAAAUUUUUAAAAACACUAAUAAAAUAGUAAUGUAAAAAAAAACUUUCAACAACGGAUCUCUUGGCUCUCGCAUCGAUGAAGAACGCAGCGAAAUGCGAUAAGUAGUGUGAAUUGCAGAACUUUGUGAACCAUCGAAUCUUUGAACGGCAAAUUUGCGGCMUAUWUUCGGAARGCAUGUUCUGUUUGAGGGCACCAUUUAACAAAUAAUGUGCGUGYUGCGUUUUGCGCGGCGUGCACACGUUGAUGAGCUUUCCAAAGAAAAAAUUUUUUUUUUUGGUGGCGCAUAAUGAACAGCGUGAAAGCUUUUCUUAAUUCGAGUGUAGUAAAAACGACGCUUGGGUUGUGAGAAGCACAUCGCGCAGUGGGUGUGGCGGUACCCAGCCCCAACCCCACUCUUUCUCACGAAAGAAAAGUUUAAUCAUCAGGGCCUCAAAUCAGACAAGAGUACCCGCUGAACUUAAGCAUAUCAAUAAGCGGAGGAAAAGAAACUAACAAGGAUUCCCCUAGUAACGGCGAGUGAAGCGGGAACAGCUCAAAUUUUAAAUCUGGCUGCUUCGCAGUCCGAGUUGUAGUUUGAAGGAGUCUGUCGCCAGUGCGACGAUGGCACAAGUCCUCUGGAACGUGGCAUCGUAGAGGGUGAGAAUCCCGUCUCUGGUCGUUGUUGCGCUGGCACACGGCAGGCAUCCGAAGAGUCGAGUUGUUUGGGAUUGCAGCUCCAAAUGGGUGGUAAACUCCAUCUAAGGCUAAWUAUUGGCGAGAGACCGAUAGCGAACAAGUACCGUGAGGGAAAGAUGAAAAGAACUUUGAAAAGAGAGUAAAACAGUACGUGAAAUUGUUGAAAGGGAAACGCUUGAAGUCAGUCGUGCCGGCGGUGAUUCAGCUCGCUUCGCGGAGCGGGCGUAUUUCCACGCAUGGCAGGUCAGCGUCAGUUUCGCGCGUCGUGAAGGGGCUCGGGUAAGGUGACUCUCUCCGGGGAGUGUUAUGGACCUGAGCAGAUGCGCUGCGCGGGACUGAGGAUUGCAGCGGACACCCUUCGGGGCGCGGCGACCGACCCCUGCUUCAUCACCCUUGUCCGAUAGCGCGCUAACGGGCCGGGGAGCGGUGGGCGCACCGGGUUGGCAAGCCGGCGGCUCCGCUAAGGACGCUGACGUAAUGGCUUUAAACGACCCGUCUUGAAACACGGACCAAGGA
rnacentral:rRNA from 1 species